CUCCUUGGCGUUGUGAUCAUUCUCUUCUUGCCCACAGGUCAUUCCCUCAACUCCACCCCACCACCCAGGUACCCUGCAGAUGGAGGACCGGGAACACUCAGGCCUGUGCGCGCUGCGCCUCCCCCUCCCAAACAACAGGCUCAGGGCCAAGUGCAAAAAAGGGAAGCAGUGGAGAUCACGCUGGUGUGAGGGGCGCCGCCCUGGUGGUCCUGGCCCGUUUCGACUGAACCGCCCUCCAGGGCGGUCCCCGGGCCCACUUUGAAGGGAGGGAAGGAUUGUAUUAUGCCAGAACCAGAAUUGUGGCAGCAAAGUGAAAGGUUGGAUGCAUCUGGAAUGCAUUUUGGAGUAAGCAGAGCUUAAACUAGAGGUCUACACACACAACCUCCCGCCCCAUGUGACACAUUCUGUGCUUUAGUGUUUUUCCCUGUCUGGGAGGUCAUGCCAUCUGUUUUGACUUCACCGCUGAAGUCAUCACUAAACACUUAAGCUAGUGAGUGUGAAACAUUCGGGGGAAUCAACAAAAAAAAUCAGAUCAGCAAUCAGCGGGAAAACCCCGUGUGUGUAGUGUUCUAGGGGGGUUAUGGGUGCAUUUAAACAAACAUGAAUGGAAUCAACAGCAGUGGUUGAGCUGGCGUUCAACUUUGUUGUUCACUUCCUGUGGAGUGGUCUGGCUGAGGUGGUCUGGCUUUCACAGCCAAGAACAUGAUUGGAAGAAAACGGACUUCCUAAAGGGAAAACGGACUUCUUAAAGGGAAAAGUGGCAAUUAUUAUUUAGUCCAUUUUAGAUAGUUAUGAAUUUGUAGUAUGUUUAAGCUCAAUACAAAAAAAAAAAAAAAAUUCUGAACACUGAUUUGAAAUGUUUGUUUCAAAACUAAUACAAAGUGAAAAUCUUAAACCUAAUAUUACGUUUUCUGUGGUCAGUCAGUAUUUUCAGAAUCGUUGAUAGUGUCACUUUACGACUGUCACACGAUGACUGAGAUGGCUAAGAGAACUGUUUGGCAUUUCAUGAAAAGUGACUUGACUUGAUCCAGAUUUGGAGCUUUCAAACCAGAGUGUCACUCGACAUAUUUCCUUGACAGGUGAAAAAGCACUUUAGUGUUGAUAGUUCUAGGGCGUCACAGUAUUAUUGCUUGUGGAGUCUCACUACUCCUGACCAGAUCGACCGACCUGGCUGCUCAUCCAUGUUUAUGGUCCCAGCAGGUGUGGUUUUGGUUUAAUGUAAUUUAUUUCAACGAUUUUAGUUAUGAUGUCAGCUGAUAUGUCUGUCUUUUCAAUCGUUUUUAUAUGUAACUGUCGCCUUUUUCCUCUUUCAAUCCAUGUUCUUUAAACUAGUUUACACAUGUUUCGUGGCUUGCUUUUUCCAUUAAUUGCAUUUUUAGAAAGAUUAUAAUUGUGCUGAAAUAAUAGGUAGAUGAACCUUAAAACCUUAUUGUUCGUGCCUUUGAAAUCUGUUGCAUGUUGUGAAAUUUCGUAUAGGAGUUUACAGUGUAUUUAUCUUCCAGUCUUGUGGUGCUUUUUCUGUAAGACGUCUCAUCGGUUCUUAAAUAAUGUUGAAUAUCUUGUUUGACUGAAAUUUUUCUUAGCGUUGUUUGCAAGCUGCUAAGAGCACAAAACCCAACACUGUUUGCUUAGCAACAGGAUUUUUAAAAAAAAUAAAAUAAAUAAAAUUUACAUUUAUCAUGUGAAUGAUAAAUAAU
ensembl:lncRNA